UAGAUACCCUGGUAGUCCACGCCGUAAACGAUGUCUACUUGGAGGUUGUGGCCUUGAGCCGUGGCUUUCGGAGCUAACGCGUUAAGUAGACCGCCUGGGGAGUACGGUCGCAAGAUUAAAACUCAAAUGAAUUGACGGGGGCCCGCACAAGCGGUGGAGCAUGUGGUUUAAUUCGAUGCAACGCGAAGAACCUUACCUACUCUUGACAUCUAGAGAAGCCAGCGGAGACGCAGGCGUGCCUUCGGGAACU
rnacentral:rRNA from 1 species